rnacentral:lncRNA from 1 species
CCCAUCGCAAUCCUUCGUCCCCAACCACCCCAAGCCAGCCCCCACCAGCUUCAUCGUCUCCUCCUGCCGCGCCACCCGCUAUCCGGCCCUCUGCGUCCACUGCCUCGCCGCCUAUGGCCGUGCCAUCCAACGGAGCGACCACCACCUCGCCCAGGCCGCCCUUAUCGUCAGCCUCGCCCGGGCCCGCUCCGCCGCCUCCUUCAUGUCCAAGCUGUCCCGAGCUCGCCGCAUCAAGCUCCGCGAGCUCCGGGCCAUGAGGGACUGUGUCGAGAACAUGGGCGACACCGUGGACCGUCUCGCCGAUUCGGUGAGGGAGCUUGGGCGCUCGCGGUACGUGGGCCGGGACUUUGCGUGGCACAUGAGCAACGUGGAGACGUGGGUGAGCGCCGCGCUGACGGACGAGAACACCUGCACGGACGGAUUCGGGGGUCGGGUCAUGGAUGGGGGCGUCAAGGUGGCGGUGAGGGGGAGGGUGGUGGAUGUUGCUCGGGUGACGAGCAAUGCCCUCGCUCUCGUGAAUCGGUAUGCUUCCAGGCAUAGUCCGGCCACGGUGGCUGAACAGCCUUGAGUGAAGCAGAAGAUAAUAGCUUUUACCUUCUACUUUGCCUUGUUUUUUUUUUUUUUAACCCCGUUUUAUGGGAGGUGAGCAGCACUAGUAUGGUGAGUAUUGUUCCUGGCUUAUUAGACUUAGUCGAUGGAACUUAUCUUGCGUUGCCAGUUGUAUAUUCACAGUUUACUGUCCCCAGUUCUAUUGCAAGCGCGACAAACCUCUAAAUGACUUCGAUUGUUUUGUUCGCGCGAUAGGAUGGGUUCUUGCUUGUUUAUGCGAAACAGACUUGCGGUACAUGGUCGAUCCGCCAUGUCAAGAUUUAAUAGUUUGAUGUUGCGACCACUAAUCUCGCGUCUUACUCAGUCCACAAUACUGGAGUUUGCUUUUCAUACGAAAUCAGUUUUGUUGGCAAGUCAUAUACAGGUGAAGUACGAAUGCCACGAUAUAAUUGUGCCAAAGAGUUAUUUUUUGCCUUGGUGAUCUAGAAUGACUCUGCCGUGGUGUUGGCUCGUUUGAAUUGGUCAAGGAUCUAGCUAACAUCCGGAGAAUGAAGAUUGAAUGACUACUGGGGGCACCCGAAUCAUAUGAGCUCAGUUCAUAUUUUUCACGUAGCUCUGAAUUAGGUCAAUAUGCAUCACCUGCAGUUUAAGAAUUUUUGGGAAAAUGGGGUGGACAAUUUGAAGAUGACCUCAAAAUAGAUGAGGGGCUCAACAAAAACACUGGAAAUUAAGGAAUUUGUUUGCGGUUGACGUGGAAUAGAUUUUACUCUUUUGUGGUCGGAGAUUACGAUUAGGAGGGGACAAUCAGACUACGUGAUUUGCGACAAUUUUCUUCAAAGCUUCAUAGCAAUUUUCUUUAAAGCUUUUGAUGAUUGUGGAUUUCUCCUCUUUUACCAGCAGAUCGUCAAAUCAGAUUUGGGUUUAUUCUGGCACAUCAGCAAAGCAUUUUCUUCGACAUAACCAUCUUUUCCCUUCUCUUCGAGAUUGAGCUUAUCUUCAAGUGCCAUCUGCCACAGGAAUGUCUUAAAUUCGAGUUUUGACGUCCUAACUCAAGGGAGUUCAUGUCAAGCCUUGCUAACUACGUGAUUUUGCUCGCGUCCCCGCUGUGUUUCUGCUCAUAUUCGUACGUGUUAGUCCAGCUCACAGUCAUCGAAAUCAUUUUAAUAACAUGUCCGAGUACGUGAAUCGGGCUUGUCCACAUGACACAGGAAACAAUGAGCAAAAUGCAAGGCGUUUCUAAAGAGAGUAUAGACUGAACAGACGAGUCAUAUGCGAGUCAAAUGAUUCAGUGGAGUACGUUCUUACUUUUUCUCUCUGCAAAAGCUGACAGUAAAAAGUAGACGCAGGUAAUGCACCUUUGCAUCGUGGGGCUCACGUUCUUUGUCCUUUUUCUUUUUGUAAGAUGCUACUCUGGAUCAGUUCAUCAGAUUGAAUUUCAGAGACUCGUGAGGCGAUUAGAUGAUUUGUCAGGAAAAGAUUUUCUGAUCUAAGUCCAAAACAUUACGCCGAAUGGUCCAACCUAAGAUCCCAAGCUUCCCGGAUGUGAAUCAAUUGCUUUUGGUAAAUGGUAAGUCCUCCUUCUUGCCGAAGCUUGACCAAAGGUGCUAUGAAAUUCAUCGUCCUAUCCAAAGAAUAAGAAGGACCGAAAGCAUUAUGGCCUUGAUUGGAUUGUAGAAGUUCAAGUUCAAAUUUUUGCUAACAGGGUCACUUAAUUGAUGAUUGCAACAACUGUUGACGAGCAGCUCAAGAAAAGAUACGAAACUAAAAUCGAAGUGCAUUUGAACUAAAUAUGGUUAAUCCACUUAAUAACAAUGUAACCUACAAUAGAAAAUAUGUAGUCUAGAAAUCAUUGCCAAUUCUUUUAAAUGAUGUAUGUGUACUUUAAUAUUUAGUGUCCUUAUGAAGUAUUAACGAGAAGUUCAUGGAUCUGGCUUAUUUGAAUCUCUUUUGUUCCUUUUGUCCUGAUGAUGACCGCAGGAAUAUUAGGCAUAACCCAACCUGCUCUCUUGAAUCUUAUGAUUAUUGAUGAUGACAUUUUCACUCCAUGCAAUCGAGUGUUUCCACUCCCCCAUAAAGAAUUGCAGCUUGGUACGAUCAGUUUUUGCCUCAGAUGGCACCUCCAUUGAAAUUUCUCAAUCAUGAAUGAAUAGCAGAAAGUGGGGGGGCAGUUGGAGAAUUAUAGUCGUUCUGAAAAAGCAUGGCAGGGCAGAGUUAAUAGUAAGUACGGCAUGAUCUUUACGAGGGCUUCUUGACAUGGUCAGAUAGAAUUAAAUUUUGACAUGAAAUUUGUAUUUUCUUUGUUGAAAAAAUCACUACUACUGCGGCAAAAUUUUUAUUAUAAAAAAAAUUCUAUUUUUUUGUUUUCAAAAGUAAAUUUGAAAUUGAAUCGAGAAGUAAAAAAAAAUUAAUUUUUUGUUCUCAAGAAUAAAUCCUGAAUCAAGCGAACUUAUUUUUUUUUUAUUUUCUCUUCUUUCUUCUUGUUCUUCAUCCCUCUCUCUUCUUCUUCAACUGCCGCCGUCCACUACCACCGGUCGCCGAUAAUCGGUUUGGCGAGCUCAUUGAAAGCUCGCAAGGCCAGCAUGAGGUCUAGUAAGCUCGCCGGUGGCCAGGCAGGCCUCCCCCAACCACCGGUAAGACUCGCCUAACCGAACAAGGCUUGGCCGACAAGGCGUGGCCCCAUCGAGGGCCGGUAAUACUCCAGUGAGGUUGCUAAUCAUCCCAAGGCCAGCGACCGGCAACCUUGAAGAAGGAGAAGAGAAAGAAAAGAAAAGAAAAGAAAAUUAUUAAAAAAAUUAAAAGAAAAUUAUUUUGAUUAGAAAUUUUCAGAAAAUACAAUUCUAUUCUCAGAAUAAAAUUUUUGAAUAGUUACUGAACGAUUUAAAAUGCUUAAAAAUUAUUCUCGAGAACAAAAUAAAAAAGAAUCAUUUUUUUUAUCAAAAAUUGUUUUCGGAAGCAGAAUAGUUACCAAACACACUCUAAAUAUCCUAAAUUAUGCUUUUGACACUAAUAUUCUAAAUUUGUGUACCACCCAAAAUUCCAAACUUAUAUCCAUAUGACAUACUUACCUUCUAUCAUAAUUCCGUCAAUGAGAAUUGCUAUAUCCUUCGUGGCGGCUUACGUUAUAUGGUGUUGACAAGUAUGAUAAAUCGACACCGUAUGCUUUCUCUCUCUCUCUCUCAUUCAACUGCUACAUUGCUUUACAUUUAUGGAGUAGCCUUCCUAAGAUGUCCAGGCUUUGGACACAUUACUAGCUUUCACUUUCAGGUACAAAGUACGUGCGAAACCAUUUUUUGGAAGCUUAACAAAUAAACUCCACAAUAGUUGGUCAAGUGAAGUUUGGAACAUUUUAUUUCAUGAAUUUUUUUUUUCUAAUAGUAAAAAAAAAUGUAGUUUUGAACGUCAUAAAAUUUCACCUAGGAAAUAAAGAAAAAUUUCAAAUAAUAACCUAAAGUGCCAUUAUAUUCUCAAAUAAGGAUUUGGAGUGGAUAUUAUUGCAAAUAAAGGCAUGAAUGCUAUCAUUUUCUUAAAUAAGAACCUAAAGUGAAUAUUGUUUUAUGUAAGAGUUUGAAGUGGCCAUAUCAGUCUCAAAGAAGAACCUCAACUCACUAUUUGAUAAGGGCAAUUUUAUUUUUUUAAUUUUGUCUUUUUUCUAUUUUUCCCAAAAAAAUAAAAUAAAAAUUGAAAAAAUAGAGACGGAAAGGAGGGCUUCCUCCUACCUGUGGCCACCGCCCCAUCACCAAUGGGGUGGCGACAAUGGUCAGUGCAGUCGCCGGCACCAAGGGGGUGCCGACAACCCUCCCUUGCCUUCGAUCGUGAUCAACAAGGGUCACUGGCCCUGGGUCAGGCCCUCGCCAGCUAGCAUCGCCUCCUACAUCAUCUUCUUCUUCUUCUUCUUCUUCUUUUAAGUUUAGGCUUUUUUUUUAAAAAAAAUCUAUUUUUCAUACCAAAAAAUAUAAUUUAAUCUAAAUUUAAAUUGUGUUUUUACAAAAAUACCCUUGAUCGAUCAGAAUUUUUUGCUAGCCGAUGAUCCGGUAAGGCUAAGCCCUUAUUUAAAAUAAAGUUAAUCACUUCAGGUCAUUCUUUAAGACUAAUAUAACCACUUUAAGCCCUUAUUUGAAAUGAAAUCCAUUACAGAUUCUUAUUUGAGAAAUUAAAUACACUUCGGAUCCUUAUUUGCAAUGUUCCCAGGAAAUAAUUUACACGUCGAAAUAGAAACAACUUGUAAAAUAUCAUUAAUUACAAGAAUAUGAAGUAUAGUCAUUUAAGUUUGUUCUUUAACAAAGGGAAGUCUUUUGAAAAGUUUUCACUCUAAUUCAUAUCAGAUACGAAUAACGAGAAUUUUUUUUUUUUAAUCUGGUACGAAUAAUACGACUUUGUUUUCUUUUUUAUUAUUUCUCCGGCAUACACAGAACUCGGUUGACUCGCACCUAAGCGGAAGCAAGAUAAAGAGAAACCUCGCAGCCAAACGGGCCAAAACUCCAGCAUUACUUCGCAGCUUCCCUGCCUCAGCUUUGUUGGGCCUCUGGAAAAUGGACCGGACAUCAUUGGACUUUCCAAUAACCAUGAAAUACUGUUGUCCCUCUAAUUGAAACUCUGUUUCCACAUCCGAUGGUCUUCCAGGACAACAUAUUCAUCUCAUCUCCAUCACUUGUUUUCUCAUUCUGUGUAUAGAGAUCAAGAAAAGAUUGCAUAAGGAUGCUGUGGAAGCACACUGGCCUAACCACUUCAAAUGCAAUUAUUUUUGUAUGGAAAUUGCUUAAUAAGACCCUUCUGAAUAAGCACAGAAGACCAUAUCCGCAGUUCUCAAACCUCCCAGCAUUUCACAAUUUUGACACAACCGAGUUCCAAGGUGACCAAAAUGAUGCGGGGAAGAGGAAAAGGAAUCAACUGAUAUCACUUAUGAUGGAGAUGAAGUCAGUUUGACUCAGUAUAACACUGGCUCACUAAUUGAAUCCUUAGUUCCCCUUAAAGAUUGAAAAUUGGUACUUCCCUUGCAAUUAUUCUGACUCAGAAUUUGAGGGUUAAGUUACAAUCCCAGCACUAUCAAUAUAAAUUAGGUCGGAAAGAUCUUUCCUUUCAACAAAAACAGCUCCAAAAGGACAGUUCUUACCGACAACAAGGUGAAGAGUGUGCGUGUUAGCACAAUGAAAUUUAAGCAACUGCAUUGUGCUGUUGUUGCUCUUAAAACCAUUCUGGAGGCCACCAAUCUGGUUUAACUGCCUCUACAUUGAGAUCUUGCCCAAGUUUGGCAAGCAAACUGGACUUUUUGAGAGCAUCUUCCAACUGUAAUAGACCUAGACCUCGACAUCCCAGAAUGGAGGUGACUAUUCCAAUUCUCCUGCCAGAUGCAGCAUCCAGGAUUUCUAAUCCAGAAGAAACUUUCUGCUCUGCUUCUAUAAUAAGAAGGAGCAUUAGAGAUCCAUCAAAUACAUAUGCCAGAAAAAAGGACCGGCAACAAUAACAGAGGCAGAAGAUUUACCUUUUCUGUUAUCGUGAAGGAACUUCAAAGGCAGCAAACGCUUGCGAAUCAUAUCUCGGUGAUGGGUCAGCAACCCUUAUCGAAGCUAAUCGUAAUAAGACCUUCUAGAUUGUAUUCCAGUGGAAUUGCCUCUCCUACAUAAAAAAAGAGUUGAAUGAUCAAGAUUACGUGGUGCAGAGAGAGGCAAUACACAGUAGAAAUAGCUUCUGCUGCAUUGAAAGUCUAAAGCACCAAAAUCCAACUAUGUGCCUUGAAGAGAAUCAUCAUGUGGAAAGAAACAAAUCUCAUUCAGAUAUUCUGAAUGCCUUCAAGCAGUUACGGGAAAGGGAUUUGCUAAGAAUUUCUGACAAGAAGGUUCUAUAUCUCAAGAUACUUAACAAAUUUCAACCCAACUAAAACAUAUUAAAUUGAGAAAUUGCUAAACAAGACGAACCCUUAGGAAUCUCUAUUGAGCCCUCCGCAAAUCCCUUCUCUAGUCUCAAAAGAAGACAAACUUUUUAAUCUGUUUCUUUGUCUGCUUCAACCAAAGGAGCUGCAAUAGAACAUGAUAGAAGUUAACAGUCUAGGUUAAAGGGUAUUUGCAGGGAAUAAAAGAAGCUGGCCCAGUUUUUAAAGCCAUAACGUCGAAGACAUGCGAGCAACCAAAACGAGAAAGGACAAGAAACACAAACGUUCUGAAGAUGGAAAUAUUCCUCUAUAACCCAGAGAGUCUAAUCUAGGAUCUUUGAACCACUGCCACCGAAUAUCAUUUCCUUGUGAAGCAGACAUAGCGGAUUUGUCAAUGCCAGCACCCCAGCCAACACUAGCAGCAUCUGGCUCCUUUGCUGUUGAGGACUUGUGAGAGUAGUUAGUGUCGUAACGCUGCCAGUAAGUGAAAUCUUUGGAUAUAUUUCCAAUAUCUACUUUGGCCCUCAAUCGGUACCUGCAGCAACAGGAUAAUGAGAAACUGUACGCAUGAGCCCAAGAGAAAGUCAUCAUUUUUAUUUUGUUGGGAGGGGAAAAGUUCCUGGUGCACUUCAUAUUUUCAGCAAAGCCCAUCUAUUAACCAGAAAGUAACAGGGGGAAAAAAGAAACUACUUUACAUGCACAAGAAGGCAGAAGCAUUAGAAACUGCCUACAGAAAGAACUAAAUUGAGGUCAAGGAGAGACCAAAGGUAAUUCUAAAGAUUACUUUUAUGCAAUUGAGUUCCCACUUCCCAGAUUGGUUGAACAAAUAUUAACUAAUGGAAAUUCAUCAACCUACUCAGCUAUAGAGGGGCAGAAAGCUGCCACUUCACAGCAUCCAAUUUGCCUACAUCAUAUUGAUUGGAGGACCCUAUGAGGCUAGAAUGAUACCAAACCAAGAUCGGUGCACUGAAAUUCUUCAAAAAAGAAACCUUGUUUGAUCAUCCAUACUUAUAAUGAUCUUCAUUAUGCCAAAUUUUUUUAAAAGAUGCCUCACACCUUAUAAAUUGCUUCCUCUUGAAUAAAGACAACAUGUGAUGGUUAAGAUUAGGGUAAAGCACACAACUUCGUAUCUGCCUAGGAGCUUCAUCUGCUACACCAACAUAAAAAAUAAUGCAGCAAGCUCAAUAAUACCUAAUCCUUACAGACACCAUUGGUUCAAAAGCAGAAGGAGGAUGAAGCUUCAGUUCAUCCUGAGGGUCUAGGAUAGUAAAUAGCAGUUAUGAGUAAUUCUUGCGAUGAUAGAAGAAAGAAGGAUGAAGUUUCAGUUCAUCAUAGGGAUGAAGGCAUGCUAUUACAUGAGUGGUGAGACUGGAGAACACUAUCAUGUUUGAUAGCUCGCAAUUGAAGCUUUGUAAAUUCUUCUGAUCACCUGGAUAGCAAUUAAUAUCCAAGGUUCUUCCUUGAAUACAAACUACAAAUUUGCAGUUGCACAGACAUUUUUAAAAAAAUCAACCUUGAAAACAUUGGAAAAAACAGAAUUUAUGAGCAGCCUAAGACUCCAGAGAACCACAGAAAAUUCACAUUUCUCAAUCAAUUGCAGCUAAGAGAACAACUUGUGCCAUGUUAGGAUGGAUAAAACUGAAGGAAAAUGAAAGGAAACUAUUCCCCAAGACAAAACAUAGUGACAAGGAUACCAACGCACGCAUAAACAUUUCCAUCCUCCCUUCACAAACCAUACAUAAAUUCAGAUAUUUACCCCAAAAACAAGACGAUGAUUUAAAAUUUCAAUGAACUCACCUUUUGAAUGUCUGCACAACCUCAUCCAAGACCUGCGCAUCCAUGUCUGCGAGAGGCUCAAGCUCCCCGUCAUUGGACCCAGGUCCGGAUCCAGUCUUCUUGAGCUUCUCUUGGGGCCUCGUGGGCCUUAUCAGAAACAGGUCACAUAAAAACCUCCCUUGAGGAGUCAACAGAGCAGCAUACAUCGAAGGAAACGUAAUCACGGGCAUGUUGGGCGUGGCCGGGUUUAAAAUCUUCUCGCUGGGGGUUUCACCGAAUCGCUGCACAUCGUUGCUCAAUAGGCCCUGGAGGAACUUGAUCUUACCCGGGCCGCUGAACUGGAUAACGGACCGGGCCCUGAGCCCGGAGGCCAUUGACCUGACAUUGUCGAGGUUGUGUUGGUGGUGGUUGCAGCGGAGCGUCAAGUAACUAGACGCGAUGGAUUUGGGUUACCAAAGAUGAGACUUAAACCGAUGCAUCUUUUUGUUCUUUUUCGGCAGAUCAGCGAUUCAAAUGAUUUACAGUUUUGGGUUGAAAAUGGAGGAGCAGCAAGACAGGAGUGAUGCUCAAUUGCAUGAGGGAGCUUCGAAGGGUGACAUGUAGCUCCUUGCGCUAUGCCAUGCGGACAAGAAAGCUACAACUUCGACAUAUGAACGACCUGCAACUAUAGAGGGUUUCUCUACACCUAAACAAUUACGCUACAUGCAUCUUGAACACCUCAAUCUAGAAAAUAAACCCGGACAUUCUCAGCUCAGAUGACGAUUCAGCAACAUAUUUGAAGCGGUAUCUAAUCCGAUGAGAGCAGAGCAAACCGACGCACUAUAGGAACGAGGGCUCUUGGCCAUCAAAGGAUGGAUCGGGAGCUACGUCACCAGCUCAACAUACCAAGCAGUAACGUACAUGUAACGCUACACAAUUCUCAAAUCAAUGCUAAUGUCUCUGAGGCAAGUCGUCGAACAGGUGGUGAACGCGAUGACGUGAGAUGGUUAUCCAGAUGUUAGCAGAGACGAAUCAACCAAUUCGAAGGCAAACGAAGAACGAUCCAACGUCAGAGUGCUCUCAACCGAAGAGAAACAGAACAUCCUAGGAUGAUUACCUGGGAUCGGCUACAGUGACGCGCGACUUGAAUCGCGGGGGCGGAAGAGAGCGGUGACGAUGUGGAGAACGCACUCACUGGAAAUGACGGCGCCGAUCGGAGGUAGGAUGGUCGUCGGCGUGGCGCGGCGGCGAAGGAUUUUCUCGCCGGAGGGGGGCGGAGAGGGAGGUCCCUGCUUGCUUCUCUUUCCGUUCCUGUGGCGAGGUGGGCGGGCUCGGUGAAUGGGCUUUGCUCGUUUAACGGGCUCUGGUCACUUUUGUGGGCUUUAAUUGGGGUCUGGAUGGGAUUUUUGUUGGAAAAUGUCUAGGUUGGUCCGUUAAUUUUUGUUAUUUUUGUUUAUUGGCUUAUUAUUAAUUCUUUGUUCUUUUUAUUAUUUAUUUUUCACUUUUACAAAAAAAAAAAUAGCUUGCGUUGUAGCCAAAAAAAAAAAGGUUUGAUUGACGAAAAUUGACCAAAAAAAAAGAGUUAAUCUUCAAUUCUUUUGUAAUUAUCUUAAGCUCAGAGAGCAAUUGUCGAAGUCUAAAAUCUUAAAUCAAGCAAGAACCUAACUUCAACAGACUCAAACUACCUAAAUCUCUUCUUUUUUGGCAUUUAGCUCGCAUUCAAUAGCGACAAAACAUAACAAUCUUAAACUUCUCCUGCAUAUUUUCAGAGGGCAAAAACGAGAAUUCAUAGAGAAAACCAAAAAUGGAAAGAAGAAGAAGAAGAAGAAUCUCCCCAAUCUUCAAUACCCGAAAAAUACAUCCAUCAUCUUUGCCCUUUAAAAUGACAAAGGGCUGAGCCACUCUAAGCCGAAAGCAAUAGCGAAUCUUGAACUUGUUCAUGCUCAUCCAAACCGGCCUAAAAAAAGUUAUUGGAAAGCAAAGCCCUUCCUUCCAAUCCAAAUUGAUGAAGCUGCCCCUAUAUCUAUUCACCACUCACCCCGAUCACAUAUUGGCACGUUCAUGAUACAUCAUGAUCAAAAGCUCUAAAAAGGACCUAUGCAUUAGUGUACUAUCAUGAUUAUAUAUUGGCUCGAUUUUCCUGAUCGCUUGAAGGCGAAGCCACCUAUUUCUUCGGGCAAAGGGUGCUCCCUCCUCCUAACUCCUUCCACUUCUCCCCGGGACAGGGACUAUGGCUUGACCUUUGAGGGAGAACUACAUGGGACCACGACCUUCAGCGAAGCUUGGUCGAAGAACCAGAUGAAGGCGAACCUCUACAGUUCCUCUCUCCUGCUCCUUCAAGACAAACGCGUUCGAAACGUCGCCAUACCUAAGUGCUCUUGCAACACGUCUCUGGUUGUCUCCCUUGCGACGCAGGUCACUGGACAGGAGGGAGAGAGGACCGAAGAGCGAGUUGGAUUCAUCCAAACAACAAGGAAAAGGUUCGCCAAAGUGAAGUUUUGGUUUUUUCUCUUCAGCCCAUGAAAAAAAUGGCAAACUCUGGGCGAGACCCAUGUUCGGGCGGAGUCCUCACUUGAUUUGAGUCCCCAUUUUUAGAAUAAAAAAAUCCAUUUUUUUUAAAAAAAAAAAAGCUUAGAAAUUAGCUUUUGAUUAGUUUUGUCAGUUUUCUAACUUUAAUACUAGUUUAAAAUUAGUUUAAAUUUUCCUAGAUUAAAAUUCACAAUUUAGGUAUUUGCUCAUCAUAUGGUAAGUAAGCAAGUACAAGUUGCCCAUAUUAAAUUGGGCCUUUGAUUCACAAAAUGGGUUUGCUAGCCCUAACAUCGGUGAAUGGAAGGAUAAUGUAGGAUUGGGCAAUCUUAGAAGGCUCAAGUAUUAGGAGGCAGGUGUUAUAGUAUAAAGCUUAAUCUAUGAGAAAAUGUGAUAUUACUUUCGGUAUUCUUAUCUUUGAAUCCCUCGACAUGAAAAAUUACCAAGAUAUUUAUAAGAACAUGGCCAAUAUGCUAAGUCAGCAAGAUCUUACCCUAUAGCAACGUAAGCAUAUCGGCGAAUGAUAUAUCCCCACAUGUCAUGAGGACAUGGGAUCAUAUAUAUGGUGAUCGCGCAUUAGGACACUAGUGGGAAGAUAAAGAAUAAACAUUAUUAAAUAUUUUCUAAUGAGUCCUGUGCUAAGUCUAUCUAGUCAAAUCUCUCUAAUCAUCAUAAAAAGAUACAGAAAAAUCCACGAUCAUGCCAUUAAUCUAGAGUCAUCCCUAAUGAGACCAGAGGAGCCCCAUUUUGAGUCUCCAAAUCCAAAUAUCUUCAAAUCAUCACAAUCAAAUAGAAAUAAUCCAAAAUCCCGUGACUAGUAAAAUAGUUAACUCACAUGGAAUGUAACUCCCGAUGUGAAACGAAAAAUUGCAAUUCGUAGAAUUUCUUACACAUGACUUGAGCGGAAAAGAAUAAACGAUAAAGUAAAAGCCAAAGCAAAAGUAGAAAGCAAAGAAGCUCAUAGGGAUAGGAAGGCGCGCAGCCAUGAUUUUGCCUGCACGUACGGUUUCACCCUUUAUUGACGGCUUCCAUAGGAAGACUCUUUUUGGACCAUCCUUAAAAGGCUUACGGCGAAAACAGGUGAGAGAACCGUCCCGGGGUGAGAAACCCCACGCUGUCUUCCUAUUCCCUCUCUGUCGAGAAGAUAAAGAUAGAUAAGGAAUUAUGGGGUUUCACAAUGAUAAAGAUAGACAUCACGUCAGGACUUCGGUUCUGGUUACUAUCGGGUAGGCAGGUAUAAUAGUCUCCCAUGCCUAGAGUGAGUGAGAAUGGGUUAAAUGCCGACAGCUAGGUUAACACGUCUUACGGCACUGUGACCUAGUUCCCCCGAUUGAGAACAGUGCCAUAAAACCUAGUGUUGUAUGACUGAGUCGGACCGAGCUUAACCUGAACUCAGAUUCGAUGCAGCUUAUAUAUUUCAUGCUUGAAAGUCGACUUGAAUUUAAUCAGCUUAAGCUUGAUUCGAAUAGGAGAUUUAGAUAUACGUGUGCUCGACUCGACUUGACUUGACUAGAACGAAAUUACUAAGGAGCUUGAUUUUGAUAUCAUAAAGUUCUAAUCUUUUUCCUGAGUUCAUAUUUAUGUGAGUCCUUUAUUUGAGAAUUUAUUACAUAUUCUUCAAAGAAACAAUCGGAUAAUCAUGGACUCGUUAUUUUUUUAUACUAAACUUCUCCCCAGAAAUAUAAGAACAAAUUUCGCUCGGUGAAUGGGCUUUGCUCGUUUAAUGGGCUCUGGUCACUUUUGUGGGCUUAAAUUGGGGUCUGGAUGAGAUUUUUGUUGGAAAAAGUCCAGAUUGAUCCGUUAAUUUUGGUUUUUUUUUUUUGUUUAUUGGCUUAUUAUGAAAUUUUUUGUUCUUUUUGUUCUUUUUUUUUUUUUUAAUAUUGCUUGAAUUGUAGCAAAAAAUCAGGUCUCGAUUGAAGAAAAUUGACCAAAAAAAAAACAGAGUUAAUCUUCGACUCAUCAUCUUAAGCUCAGAUAACAACGUUGAAAUUUAAAAUCUAAAAAUCAAUCAAGAACCUAACUUCAACAAAUCCACAAUUCCAAAUUCUCUUCUUUUUUCACAUUCCGCUUGCAUUCAAUAGCAAUCCCACCUACCUCCAGAAAUGAAAAAUCGAAAAUUCAUUGAGAAAAUCAAAAUCGAAAAAAAAGAAGAAAAGAAGUGCCCAAAUGUUCAAUACCGGAACAACAUAUCCAUCGUCUUUGAGAACGGUCUUCAGCGAAGCUUGGUCAAAGAACUAGAUGAACACAAACCCCUAGAGUUCCUGUGUUUUGAUCGUUCAGGACAAAUGUGUUCGAAAUGUUGCCAUACUUUUUGCAGUGCAUCUUUGGUCGUCUCCCUUGCGAUGCGGGUCACUGGAGAGGAGGGAGAAAGGAGCGAAGAGCGAAGUUGGAUUUGUGUGAGCAGCAAGGAAGGAAACGGUUCGCCAAAGUGAAGUUUUGGUGUUUUCUAUUUAGCCCAUCAAUCAGAGUCCUAACUUGAUCCAAGUCCCCAUUUUUAGAAUAAAUUUUUUUUAAAAAAUUUAAAGAAAGAAAAGGCUUAGCUUUUGAUGAGUUAUGAUAGAUUUCUAGCGUUAAUAUUAGUUAAAAAUGAGUUUUAGAUUUUCCUAGAUAAAAAUUCACAAUUUAGGGAUUUGCCCAUCUGAGCAAGUACAAGUUACUCAUAUUAAAUUGGGCCCUUUUCGUCUAAGUCACAAAAAGGGUUUGCCGGCCCUAAUAUGAGUGAAUGGAAGGAUAGUGGAGGAUUAGGCAAUCUUAGAAGGCCAAAGUAGUAGAAGGCAGGUGUUAUAGGAUAAAGCUUACUCUAUGAGAAAAUGUGAUAUUAUUUCCAAUAUUCUUUUAUCUUUGAAUCACUCGGAAUGAAAAACUAUUGAGAUACUUAUAGGUAUUGGCCACUAAGUGAGCAAGAUUUUGCCAUAUGGCAAUGUAAACAUAUCCGCGAAUGGCAAUGAGGACAUAGGGUCACGGAUGGGGAUCGCCCAUUACAACACAGGUGGGGAGGUAAAAGAUAAACAUUAGUAGACCUUUUUCUAAUGAGCCCCGUAUCAAGGUCAAAUUAUCAUAAAAAAGAGAUGGGAAAAAUCCACCAUCAUGCAUUAAUCUCGAGUCAUCCCUCUUUAGACCAAAGGAACCCCAUUUUGAGUAUGAAGCCAAAUAUCUUCAAAUCAUCACAAGAAAAUCAAAAUAAUCCAAAAUCCAGCGACUAGUGAAAUUGUUGAUUGGCAUCGAAUGUACCUAUCGAUAUAAAACGAAAAUUUGCAAUUCGUAGAAUCUCUCACGCCUGAUUUAAGCGCAAAAGGAUAAAGGAUAAAGUAAAAGCCAAAGCAAAAGUAGAAAGCAAAGAAGCUCGCAAGGACAAGACGGGGCGCAGCCAUGAUGCUGCCUGCACCCUUUGUUGACGGCUUCCAUAGGAAGAUAAAACAAAUCCCCCCCUUCCUUUUUCCCCUUCUCCUCAACCAAGUGCGGUGGGGUUUUUUAUUUUUUGUUUUUUGGAUCUAUAGCCACCCGGUAUCCGGAGCCUUCGCCCCAACUAAUUCGGAUGCGAGCAUUGUCAGACCCAUAAUAGGGGGCUCUCCCAGCGCAUCAGCUUCGUACACGAGACUCGAACUUGAGAUCUUACCUAGUGCAUGUUUGGUAACUAUCCCAAGAGUGUCUAAUUUUGAUUUUUUAUUCCCGAAAAUAGUUUGAAAACAUAAUUGCGUUUGGUAAAAUUUUUGUUUCCGAGAACAAAUUUCUAUUUUUUUGUUCCUAGAAUUAGAUUUGGAAUAGAAUAAAAAAUAAAAAAAGCUGAUUCUUGUUCUGGGAACAAAUUUAAGAAUCAAAACUAACUAUUUUUAUUCUUCUAUUUUCUCUUCUUCUUCAUCCCGCCGCCACCGUCCGCCGUCGUCCGCCACCGUAUGCUGCCGCCUGCUAAUGAUCGUCGGAGGCUCGCUAGAGGCAUGCCUAGCCUGGCCCCAGCAAGGCUUGCCCAACCCCGCCAGUGGCCAGGCGAGCCUCGCCAAGGCUGGGCUUGCCUCGCGAUGUCCAGCCCCGGCGAGGCCGCUUGGCCACCGAUGAGGCUUGCCCGGCCUUGUCGGUGGCCAAGCGGGGCUUGUCGAGCCAUCGGCGAGGCUCGGCCUCACCAGAUUUGGCUAGGUGGUGGCCCUUGUCUGGUGAGGCCGAGCCUCAACGAGGCUGGGCGAGCCUCGUCGUUGGCCAGGUGGGCCUCGCCUAGGCUCGGCCGAUAAGGGCCGGCGACACUCCGAUGAGGUCGUUGGCCCUUGUCUGGCCGGUGGCCGGUCAUCGAGAAGAAGAAGAAGAAGAAUAGGAGAAAAAGGAAAGAAAAAAAAAAGAAAAAAAAAGUAAAAGAAUUAUUUAAAAAUUGAAAGAAAUUGAUUUGGAAUAUAAUCAAUGAGCACGGUACCAAAUGCAAUUAUAUUCCAGAAUCAGAAAUUUUUAACAGUUAUCAAACAGCUUAAAAUACUAAGAAAUUGUUCCUGGGAAUAUAAUUAAAAAAAAAUUAUUUCAAAUCAGAAUCUGUUUUGUUCCAAAAAAAAAAAUCAGAAUCUGUUUCCGAGAAUAGAAUUAUUACCAAACACGCCCUUAAGGGAACCCAAGCUCUUUAUCACUUGGGCCAACAGACAUUUGUAGUGUGGUGGUAUUUCAAAUGUAGACUUAGUUUAUUUUACAUAAAAUAUAACAUUUUUGGAAAAUGGUUUUUAUUUUUCAGAAAAAUCAUUGCAUUUUUCAGUGUUCCGUUGAAACUUGAAAAUAGGCUAGAAUAUAUAUUUUGUUGUUCAGUAAAGGAAAUCUUUUCCUUGAUACACAAUGUAAAUGAAAUUUUAUUAUUAUAUUUUUAAUUGAUUUUAAUUAUUUUUUAUUUCUUUUUCUUUUUCUUUUCCUUUUCUUCUUCAUUGGUUGGUCGCUAACCAUAGUCUCGCCACAAGCUGAGCUCACCCAACGCCAGUGACCUCAAGCAAGGGUCACUAAACGUUGGCGAGGAUCUAGCAAUCUCAAGUUACACUUUACUAGCGCUUUGCUAGAUCUAGUAGGGCUCAACCUUACCAAUGUUGGGCAAGGUGGACCUCAUUUAAAUAUGGCAAGCUCGAGCCUCAUCAAAUUAUUGGUGAGGCUUUAGCUCGCCUAUAACUGGUCACCAGUUGUUGCCGUGGUAGCAACCGGUCAAUGAAGAAAAAAAGAAAAGAAAAGGAAAUUAUAAUUAAAAUGAUUUUUAAUAAAAAUUAAAAAAGAAAAGAAAAGAAAAGGUUUUUGAUAAAAAGGAGUGGUGAAAAAAGACGUGAAAAAUGUUUUCUACUUCUCAAAAGUCAAAAUCAUUUUUCCCUAUGUUUGAAUAUUUUUUUCCUUUUAUAGAAAAUGUUUUCCCCAACUAAUUCAUUUUCCGUAAAACGAACAUCGAAAAAUCCAGAAAACUUUUUUGUAAAAUUAUCUUAUGUGAAUCAAACGAAGCUCUAGUGUUAUAAAAAAGAGUCAGACCGAGCUUAACCUGAGCUCGAUUAGAUGCGACUUACAUUUAUCAUGCUCGAAAGUCAACCUGAAUUUAAUCAGCUUUAGCAUGAUUCGAAUAGAAAAUUUAGAUAUGCAUCUGCUCGACUCCACUUGAGUUGAUUAGAUUAGAACGAAGUUACUAAGAAACUUGAUUUCAAUCUCAAUAAGCUCUAAUCUUUUCCCUGAGUUCAUAUUUAUGUGAGUCCUUUAUUUGAGAAUUUAUUACAUAUUCUUCAAAGAAACAAUCGGAUAAUCAUGGACUCGUUAUUUUUUUAUACUAAACUUCUCCCCAGAAAUAUAAGAACAAAUUUCGCUCUGCUCUCGGCAGCCCAUCGUUUAUUUAAACCUCUCUCUCUCUCUCCCCCCAGACAAAAAUGGCGAAACCAAGACCAUCUCUCUCCUUCUUCUUCUUCUUCUUCCUCCUCUUCCUCGUACUCUCCCUCGCCACCACCCCAGCCCAAUCCUUCGUCCCCAGCCACCCCAAACCAGCCCCCACCAGCUUCAUCGUCUCCUCCUGCCGCGCCACCCGCUAUCCGGCCCUCUGCGUCCACUGCCUCGCCGCCUAUGGCCGCGCCAUCCAACAGAGCGACCGCCACCUCGCCCAGGCCGCCCUCAUCGUCAGCCUCGCCCGGGCCCGCUCCGCCGCCUCCUUCGUGUCCAGGCUGUCCCGAGCUCGCCGCAUCAAGCUCCGCGAGCUCCGGGCCGUGAGGGACUGCGUCGAGAACAUGGGCGACUCCGUGGACCG